GCCUCCCUCCGCCGCCACUACACGACUACCGUACGGACGGCGAGCAGUAGGGAAGUAGUUGCACAAUGGGCGGAAACGACCGUGAUGCAGCGACGCCGCGUGAGGAUGACGCCUUCGGUUGUAACCUCUUUCAGCAGGACCAAGCGAGAGUGAGUGUACCUGCAGAAGAAGCACCGGCUAACUACGUGCCAGCAGCCGCGGUAAUAC
rnacentral:rRNA from 1 species